GGCGAUAUGGCCAAGUGGUAAGGCAAGAGAUUGCAAAUCUUUUAUCCCCAGUUCAAAUCUGGGUAUCGCCUAGU
rnacentral:tRNA from 1 species